rnacentral:tRNA from 1 species
UGCGGAAUUGUGUAAGGGUAGCACAACGGCCUCUGACUCCGUUUGUUGGGGUUCGAAUCCCUAUUCCGCAGCCA